rnacentral:rRNA from 1 species
AAGUGGGGAUGACGUCAAGUCCUCAUGGCCCUUAUGGUAGGGCUUCACACGUCAUCAAUGGUCGGUACAGAGGGUUGCCCAAAGCCGCGAGGUGGAGCCAAUCCCUUAAAGCCGAUCGUAGUCCGGAUCGUAGUCUGCAACUCGACUACGUGAAGUCGGAAUCGCUAGUAAUCGCAGAUCAGCAUGCUGCGGUGAAUACGUUCCCGGGUCUU